rnacentral:snRNA from 1 species
GUGCUCGCUUUGGCAGCACAUAUACUAAAAUUGGAAUGAUACAGAGAUUAGCAUGCCCCUGAGCAAGGAUGCCAUGCAAAUUUGUGAAGUGUUCCAUAUUUUU